CCGGAUGGGAGGAGGAGCCUGUGGGGAGCAAGAGGGUUGGAAGCGGCUUCCAGACUCCUGUGGUGGACACUCAGCCUCCCUGCCCCAUCGGACUCUGAAGCCGCCACACAGCAACAGGGCAGGCCGGACGUGGGUCAGCCAACGGGCCGUCUCUGUGUCACUCAGGGCAGCACUGUCUCCACCUCCGUUUCUCUGCUGCCGAAACGAUUCCUUUUAAACCAGAAGACUUAUGAUGUCAGCGGAGCAGGCCCAAGUGUGUGGGUGACGAAGGGACGAGCCCCGCUGGGGAGACACAGCAGAGGCCGGGGUUCAGGGGUCACGUUCUGGCACCCGUCAAGAGGCAGGAGGGAACCCAUAUGUCUCUAUGGGAACUGGCUCGUCCCCCAGGACUCCCCACCCUGCUCUCAGCUGGCCUGCAUCGCCCCUCAGGGGACUGGAGCCACUGGUUGCCCUGUUGGCCGCCCGCCCCGCCAGACAGCAGACAGCCUGCCCCGAGCCUGCAGACCCACCGUGUGCCGGGCAGUCUGCAAGCGCCAUCCACCAUUCCUGGCCACCCGGAGGCGGGGACCUGCCCAGGGCACAGAUGAUGACCCGGGGUGGGGGUGGCCUGCAGUCGGGGCUGUGGUGAGGCUGGCCACCCAGCCCCAUGCUGGCCCUCUGCGCUUAGUGGACAGGGCUUGGGGACAUGGGGACCCGAGGGCUCCUGCCUCGCCUCGUCCCGCCCCUGAGCCCACAGGCUUUGUCCUCCAGCCCUGGGACACCCCUGAGCGGGGAGGUUCUCUGACCGAGGGUGGGGAGCCGUUCCUAGCCGUGGUUUGUUCCCAACACAAAAGCCCUCCUCCCUCGGGGGGCCAGUGUCCAGAAGGGCCUGGGAACCUGAGGCGGGAAACUGUCCAGGCUGCCUCCCAGCCGGGGCCCCCCAAACUGUGGGGAGGUCCCCUUCAGGAACCCAGGGGACAGACAGGGCUUGGCAUCCUGGGGCGAAGAGCACUGCCCAGGCCAUGGGCACCACCCCCUCCCCCGCCCUCGUGAGGACCCCUUGGGAAGAGGGCACCUCCCUGGCCGGAAAAUGCAAGACGACCCCGCCCACCGCGCGGGGCGGGGGGGGGGGCGGGGGGGGUGAGGGGGGGCCGGGGAGCAGUGGGGGCGGGGCCAGGCAGUGCAGAGGUCGGGAAAGGGGAUCUGGACCCAUUUCUUCCCAGCUGAAGGGUCAGGCUCCCUUCCUCUGCGCUUCCGUGUGCUCCUCCCUAGGUCAGGCCAUCCGCUGACUCCAAGUCUCGAGUCUCAUUCUGAGGGUCGGGGGGAAAGGACAGCAGCGGCCCAGGGCCUGGCACGCGGUGGGUCCCGCUCCUGAGGGCCCCCCAGGGCUGGACGUGCGCUGUCCUUGCCCCAGGCUAUGUCUGCUCCGCAUGCCGACCCUAUGGACACACAACCCUGACCCCUGGGUGUUUUGGUCUGUCCACUUCACCGUGUCUACAAUCCCCACUGAGCAGUGGGCUUCAUCUCCUGUGGGGCGGCUGGAGAUGCCCGGUCAGCUAUUCCCCUGAAACGUCAAAGCUUUCAAGGCCGCCAGAAGCCACCUGUGCCGGGCCGCCAUUCCCCGCCGUGUCUUUGUCCCCGCUAGAAAAUCCCAAACUUCUCUGUUCCAAAGCCUCCUGCUCCCCAGGGACAGAGGGCAACUCCUGGGCCCAGAGCGCAGGUCCCCUCCACGAGGUCUGGCUGGGAAGGGCUCGCUGGGCUGGGUGGUGGGCUGGGCGGGGCCUGGCUGGGCUGGGUGGUACCUGGUAGGUGCACACGGGAGCUGCCAUCCUUUCCAAUCUGCUGCUCAAGCCUUUCCCCGCCCCUACACCGGAGGGCAGCCAAGGAAGGAGGGUGCCCAGAGAAACAGAGUCGGGGAAACCGUCCUGCCCUGAAAGAUGUGGUCAGUCACUGCAGGGGCGCAAGGACCGACAUGGGGUGCAGGCUCGGCCUCAGCAUCACACGGUUCCCAGAACUCUGCAGGCGACUCAGCCCGCCAGCACCCCGUGCGGACCCCACGGGGCUCCAACCCGGUGUCACCCUGCUCCCUCUCUCCCUGCUCUGAGCUCUCUCUUCAAGCCCAGGCCCUGAGGUCCUCGUGGGGCGGUGACUGCGCCCCUCAUGCCUUUACCGGCAGGGCACUCCCCACAGGGUUCAGAAUCUGAAGGUCAACAAAGGUAGAAACAGCGGGCUAGGAUUUAAGCAUUUUCAAACUGUCACAGGCAGCCUGAUAUUGUGACAAGGUCCCAUAGAUUAACCAACAGAUAAAGUUCAUUUGCUUUCAUCUGGGAUGAUGUCAAUUUAGUAACAAUUGGUUGCCCACGCUGAAAAGGUCUGAAUUAUUUUCCUGGAUUAAAUUUUUAAAAGCAAAAACAAAGCACAUGAGCCCUUAGCCCUUGUAAAACAGGCUGCUUGCAGCUGGCAGGUCAGGCAACCCCCUCGGGCCCUGCAGAAAGGCAGCACCACAGACGGGGGUCUGCUCGCCUCGCGCAGGAGUCAGACGCUGUCUCCCGCCCCAGGAAGCUGAGGAAAAGCUAAGUGCCUCCGUAUUUACACUCUUUACCAUACAUGGAAUCACUCGGCGAUGACGUCAGAUGAAUUCCUGGGGAGCUGCGUAGCUGCAAGCCCAGCGUCACCGCAGAAAUUCCUGACCGCUGGGUCUGUGGGCGCACCCCUCCCCCAUCCCCAGCAAAUCCCUGACCACUGGGUCUGCAGGCGCCCACCCCUGCCCGCCCCAACCCAGCUCUGCACCUGGCUUCUCCUCGGGAAGGCUCUUCUCCAGGCUGCUUCUCUUUCCUGCCAACCUAACACUGAAAUCCAAACACGCAUCAGACUGGGUGAGAGCGCAUCCCCGGGACCCAGGCCCCAACUUCCGGGGGGCACCCCCCUCUCCCCACACUGUAGAGGACCCAGUGGCAGCAAGUUCUAGCUAGAUUCCUUCCACAUUCCCGCUAGCAGAGCCCCAUCCUCCCUAAGCAGCGUGUAAGCUGCCCUCAAGCUCUUUGUAAAGCACGUCUGUCUCGGGAGUGGCGGAUCUGUCCCUGGAGAGCUGAUCAGAGACAGGAAAGGCAGAGUGACCGGGAGGCCGGGUGUGGGCCUGGAAGGUGUCUGCCGGUGUCUCAAUGGCGGCCUUUGACCCAGAGUGAGUCAUUGGUCACCUCUGAGCCCCAGCUUCACCCCCCCCCCCCCACAGGCUGCCCCAGAUGAGACGGCUAAGGACACAGGCCAGUCCCGGGCCGGGUGAGCACAGACGUCAGCCAGCUGCUCUCUCGGGAAAUGCCAGCUCUCCUGCCCAGGGUCGGGGCUCUUUCCUUAUUUGCCGACAUGUCUGAGGGUGGCAAGCGGCGACCUUUAUUCUCCUCAGUGCCUCAAUAUAUCCAAUGCACGACUCCCCCGUCCUCUCCAAGCCAACCUCACAAGAAGCUGGCUUACAGAAACUUCAGCUCCAGCAGCCUCGCAAAGAAGCCUCCGCAGUCUGCCUUCACCAGGAGGCCUGCGGUUAAUGGAAACCUGACCUGGGCCUCAGUGUCGGGCACGCCGGGCCAGCACGGGUUUGCAAGGGUCACACGUGCCCAGCAGGGCAGCUGGGCUACGAGCCCACAUCUACCCAUUCACUCACCAAAUGUCUACUGCCCGCCAACCAGGUGCCAACACUACGCUCCCGGCCAGGAAGGCCCUGCCAGGAUCACAAGGCAGAGAGAUCUGCUGUAAGAGAAGGGACACCUGGGCCAGGAGGGCAGGUGCUGGGCAGCCCAGGGGCGGGGCGGGGCCUGCAGACCUGUGCCAACAGUUUCUCCCCAGGACCCCCAGACCCUUUAAAGAGCCAGCGCUGCCCCUCCCCCUCCAAGCACACGCUCUCCUUCCUUGCCCGCCUCCUCCGCCCCGGAUUUCCUCCCUGCAGGACCGGGUCCUUAGUGCAGGCUUCGAUCAGCCACAAGGACAGUCUCUCUGGAAAGAGGUGGCCGGGGCCCCCAGCCUGAGCCCACCUUGCCUCUCAGGGGCUGACAGUGAGUGGCAGCAGGGAACACGACCCCCAGGGAGUGCCCGGAUCCCAGCUGCUCUCUGAGAUGACAGGGAGAGGGCAGCCCCUCUGGCCUCUCCAGCUUCUGGGAGGCAGGAAGGCUGGGGGCAAAGACAACCGGCCCAGCCCUCCCAGGACCGCGGCCACGGAAGCAGAGCCCCGCUUCCAGGCCGGCAGAGUAUCCGGGUCAGUCUGCCUCGGCAUCACCUCCACAAGUUGAGGCCCCGCUUCCACCAGAGCCCCGCGGGCCUCCAGGAGCUACCGCGACAGGACCCCCAGGCCAAGUCCCCCCAGCUGGGAGGGGCUGCACACCCGUCCACGCCCAGGAACAGGGGCGGGGCCCAGGCCUCCAGGGAGGGGCGGAGCCCACCCCAGCUCCGGUCUAGCCCCGGGUCUCGAUAAGAUCACUAACGGCGGAACUGGACCAGCGUUUGCAGCACACUCGGCGGCUGUGAGCGCGGAGGACGCGCCUGCCUGCAGGCUGCUUGUUGGGAACGGGUUGCAACUUGCUUCAAGUGUGCUCACAGCGCCCCCUCCUGCCCCCGGCCUUCGGGACUGAGGCUGCAAACACUGCGGCUUCCUCCAGGCUUGGGUGGUGGUCCCCGCGCCGCGCCAAGUCCCGGGGCGUCAGGGGUGAAGGCGGCGAGGCGACCUCCAUCUAGCCCCUCGCAAAAGGGGAAACGCGCACCCGCGCUCCGGGCACAGCUGUGCCAGGCGGGCCCCCACCCGCCCGCCGCACGUUCCCCCCGGGGAGGAGGGGUGGCACGGAUGCCCUCAUCCCCCGCCGCACAAGGAGCGUCAGUGCGCGCAGAAUCGCCCAUUGUCCCGCCGCGGGACCCGCCGGGGGAGGGACCCGCCUGCG
ensembl:lincRNA